rnacentral:lncRNA from 1 species
CAGAUAGCCUAAUGUAUUGUCAUAUAAACUCUUAGCAGGUCUAGAAACAGUUAUUUUUUCUUUUUUCAGAGAAUAACAGGCUGAUUGAGCUAUGGUUGAAACUUGCUCUUUGGUUUAUCUUGCUAGUUUAUGGCUGGUGAUCACAGUAUCAAGUAUCUGAUAAGAAAAUGUUUCUUUGGAGUACCUGAUACGACAUACCAUGGCCUCUUCCACAGCUAUAUCAAUUAUGGCAUAGUGCAUGGGGUCAUGCAGUAGGCUGUAGAAGGAUCUUGCUUCUGCAAAUGAAGGUUCUCCGGAUCAUCAACUCAUCGGCUGGAGCAUUGUGCGCCAAUCUUUAGGAGGCUGAGGAUUAUGACGGUCUAUAGCCAGUAUCUCUUUAGUUCCCUGUUACUGUUGAGAAGAUCAACAGAUGUACUGUUGAGGACAUCAUACCUUUCAGCAGAGAGGACAUGCACAUAGUCACAACACACAACACAAGGAGGAGGAAUGACAUCAAUUCGUCUCAGGUCAGACUGACUCGAUCUCAUAAUAGCUUCCCUGUCCGUGCAUUUGAGAUUUACAACAGGAUGCCUGUGUAUUUCCGUGAACAGGAGAAAAAAUCUUCAAGAAGGCACUUCGUGAGAAGCUUGUCACAGUCAACUUCAAAUCAGGUAGAAAGAUUCAAGAAGUCCAAUCGCCUUAUGAUGAUUAGUUUGAUCAUGAGGUUCUCUACCUGGGGAUGAACGACUUGCCCGUGAGAGAGAGAGAGAGAGAGAGAGAGAGAGAGAGAGAGAGGCCAGUAACCAUUGCAGAGCGGAUGAUCAAGCUGGUGAAGAAAAUCCACCACAAGCCCAAUAGUGCUCUAAUUAACAUGUGCAUCAUUCUGCCAAGGAGUGAGAACAGUUUCAAAAUUGCCGGAAGUGAUGAAGAAAGAAUAGACUUCUGGAAUGGCAAAGCAACCUCGACGAAAGUCAUGUAUCGACAAUAUUGUGUAAAAGCACCAAAAUAAAUCACAAAGGCCGCAAAGACAGUUCAUCGUGUGUGUUGUUUCUCAUUCUGCAAAGACAGUGAACAUGUAAUCAUAUAGUUUGACACCAUACACAACGUUUUACCAUUACCAUAGUAUAAUAUACCACUCUCAUUGUAUAAUUGUGUACAUUACGAAACAUGUGUUCUGUCAUGAAUAAUAAUGUGUUUAUGUAAAUUAACAAUUUAUUGUUACUUUCGCAAUUUUUCAUAUGUUUUGAAAAAAA